UACGUAGGUGGCGAGCGUUAUCCGGAAUUAUUGGGCGUAAAGCGUGAGUAGGCGGUUUCGUAAGUUUAAAGUGAAAUACUGUGGCUUAACCAUGGUCUGCUUUAGAAACUGCGAGUCUAGAGUGCGGGAGAGGUUAAUGGAAUUCCAUGUGUAGCGGUGAAAUGCGUAGAUAUAUGGAGGAACACCAGUGGCGAAGGCGGUUAACUGGCCCGAGACUGACGCUGAGUCACGAAAGCGUGGGGAGCAAAUA
rnacentral:rRNA from 1 species